GGGCUCCCCGGGCUCAGCAACACCCACCUCUGUGGCUGGGAGCUGGGCUCAGCCACAUCCCUGCAACUUCUCCGGGACACCGCCAUCCAGCUACGCCAAGGCCUGACGGCGGCUCCAUGUUUCCUGCCAAUGGCGGUGCUAUUAAUUUCUGCAUCUGAAAGGUGAGGGUGCAUGGGAUGGAAGAGGAUCUAGCGGGUGGACGUGAUCACAGCAGCUGCAUCUGGAAGGCGAGGGUGCAUGGGAUGGAAGCAGAUCUGGUGGGUGGAGGUGAGGACUACUGCAGCUGCAUCUGGAAGGUGAGGGUGCAUGAGAUGGAAGAUCUGGUGAGUGGACAUGAGCAUCCUGGGUAUACUGAGUAAACUCAGCCAAGGAUGCACUGCAGGAGGUGAGGAAGCUGACUGUGGUUUGGACGUGGUUUGCCAUCUCCACCAAGUUCCAUGUGAAACGUGAUCCUCAAUGUGUUAGUGUUUGGAGGUGGGGCCUGGUGGGAGGUGUUUACAUCCUGGCAGGAGGUGUUUAUGUCCUGGGACUGAAUCCUUCUUUGUGAGGUAUUGAGUGUGGCUUCACUCUCAGAGACUGGACUGGCUCCCACUGGAACUGUUGUUACAAGGUGCAGAUUCUCCUUCUGCUUGGUCCUCUCCACAUCUGUUCACUUCUCCUCUGAC
rnacentral:lncRNA from 10 species